rnacentral:rRNA from 1 species
CAUAGGUUAAUGAGGCGAACCGGGGGAACUGAAACAUCUAAGUACCCCGAGGAAAAGAAAUCAACCGAGAUUCCCCCAGUAGCGGCGAGCGAACGGGGAGGAGCCCAGAGCCUGAAUCAGUGUGUGUGUUAGUGGAAGCGUCUGGAAAGGCGCGCGAUACAGGGUGACAGCCCCGUACACAAAAAUGCACAUGCUGUGAGCUCGAUGAGUAGGGCGGGACACGUGGUAUCCUGUCUGAAUAUGGGGGGACCAUCCUCCAAGGCUAAAUACUCCUGACUGACCGAUAGUGAACCAGUACCGUGAGGGAAAGGCGAAAAGAACCCCGGCGAGGGGAGUGAAAAAGAACCUGAAACCGUGUACGUACAAGCAGUGGGAGCACAGAGCAAUCUGUGUGACUGCGUACCUUUUGUAUAAUGGGUCAGCGACUUAUAUUCUGUAGCAAGGUUAACCGAAUAGGGGAGCCGAAGGGAAACCGAGUCUUAAC